UAACAAGGAUUCCCCUAGUAACUGCGAGUGAAGCGGGAAGAGCUCAAAUUUAAAAUCUGGCGGUUUCACCGUCCGAGUUGUAAUCUGGAGAAGCAUUUUCCGCGUUGGACCGUGUACAAGUCUCUUGGAAUAGAGCGUCAUAGAGGGUGAGAAUCCCGUCCAUGACACGGACUACCAGUGCUUUGUGAUAUGCUCUCAAAGAGUCGAGUUGUUUGGGAAUGCAGCUCAAAAUGGGUGGUAAAUUCCAUCUAAAGCUAAAUAUUGGCGAGAGACCGAUAGCGAACAAGUACCGUGAGGGAAAGAUGAAAAGCACUUUGGAAAGAGAGUUAAACAGUACGUGAAAUUGUUGAAAGGGAAACGCUUGAAGUCAGUCGCGUUGUCCGGGACUCAGCCUUGCUAUUUGCUUGGUGUACUUCCUGGUUGACGGGUCAACAUCAAUUUUGGCUGGUGGAUAAAGGCUGAGAGAAGGUGGCAUCCUCGGAUGUGUUAUAGCUCUUGGUUGCAUACGCUGGCUGGGAUUGAGGUCUGCAGCACGCCUUUUUGGCCGGGGUUCGCCCACGUAACGUGCUUAGGAUGUUGGCAUAAUGGCUUUAAGCGAC
rnacentral:rRNA from 1 species